AAUUGUAUUAUUCAUAACAGUAACACAAUUGUAUUGGUUUUGUGUUGUACAUAUUUGAUAUCUGAUACGCAAACAUAUUCUUGAAGUGAAAUAUUUUGCCAACAAUAGUUCUUCCCCAUAGUAAAUACUGGAAACCAUACAUUAUCCUACCGCACCCCAAAUUCGACGAUGUUCUAUUUAUAUUGAUUAAAUGGAUGAUUAUUGUCUUUGAAUCAUUUCAAAGUAAUACAGCCGAGUUUAAAAUUAUUAUUUUCUGCUAUUAAACAUUUCAUUAUUUCUUUCAUUAUUUGCUAAAUAUUGCUUCAUGUAACCGUUACAUCGUCGAAUUUCGGUCCAUUACAUUCGAUUCUUUACACCCUUCGAAUUUGGGUCACACUGGGAUAUUGCAUACAUGCAUCUAGUCCAAAUUUUUGACGCUCUUAAAUAUUAAGCUACUUUUUAUAUGGGUAAAGUAUCUCGCGCGUCUUAUAAAUAAGACUAACAUGCAUCAUGCAGAGAUCUCCCUCUGGUUUAGUUCAAACCUGUAUAUUUUAGUUUGAUUGCAUAGGACUUAUUUGAAAAAGCUGUAAAUUUUGUUUCCGGUGCCUAGAACCAGUACUUAGUGUCUAUAGGGAAGAUCUAAAGAACGCUUUCACAGUGGGGAUCGAACCCGUGACCUCCUGGUUGCUAGGCGGACACCAUAUCCUUUACGCCACAGCUACUUCAGGGUUUGGGACACCAAACGCAAAGCCUAUCCCAAGGCAAUGCCCCAUUUGCGUGGUAAAAGGCAACACGACUGUGUACCUCCGGGUAACAGACCACGUUCGCUGGGUGCAAGCGCUGACGGCAGACCCCGUGAAGCCGUUGAUGUCAGAGGCACGUGCUAAGACCGGUCGGAAAGUGAAGAAGACAAAGCCGAGGAAUUACUACUCUUGCUGGCUGUGCGACCGGUCGGUGAUUGACCGGCUGCGUCAUCUAGAACAGGAGCACAAAAUGGAGGCUGGGACAUUCAAUUUUGUUUACACAAGAGGGCCGUUUCCGGAAAGUAAGUGUUAAAUUGUGUUCGUGUGGUUUUUGUAUUUAAUUUCUCAUAUUUCUAUCAAUGUCUAAUACAAAACCAUACCAAACGAUUUGUAACUUUUACAUUUAAACGUCAUUUACUGGACGCGAAAACUUCAGGAAAGGUGACCAGCAGACUCGCCACUCAUGAUGACUCGGCAUAGGAGGAUGAGAAGGUGGAGGAUGAGGAGGAGGAGGAAGAGGACUUUUCAUUCCUAAUGCCGAAAUACUGCCUGAGCCUGGAACCCAAUGCAAGGGUGAUGCAUGGUCGGAGAAGCUGCAAUUUCAAUCGUUGACUCAUAUGUAGACUACAUGUUCCUGCGGAGCAGGCCAGGUGGGUUGGCAAACGAGUCGAAAACACAAGAGGUCAACAUGAAGAUCAACCGGUUCCUGGCCCUGUCUGGCUACUUGGAAGGAGUGGUGUUGAGUGACAUGCUGUUGUGGAUGGGCCAUAUGGAGGUCCACGACAGUUCCUCAACACCACUCACCAGCUGAAGACGGUGCGGAAUGCACUAACGGCAAUCAAGAACUUCCUGAAGUGGUGCGAGGGAAUGGUCUAGCGGACGCCCGCACAUUGAACAAUGCUUCCUGACCUCAACCUGCCUGGAUAAGAGCCGUCGCGAGGUUGUUCGGAGGGUAGAGGAGAGUGCGGCCAUCCUGACGGACGCAAACCUGGAGCGCCACUUCACUGAGAGUGAGCAUGUAGUGAAAACGAUCAAGGUGAUCCAGGAGCCCCCAGCUGGCACACCUGAAAGAUAUUCGGGGAAUAAUCAUUUAACUGAUAGCGCUCUAUAACGCCUCCUGAACUGGCAAGUGUACCUAGAGAUUGAGCUGGAGACAGUGAAGGUGCUGACCUCUGUGUGGAACACUUAGAAGCUGGCAAGUUUUCAUAUUGAAGGGUAUGGUUCCCAACCGCCCAUCACACACAGAAUGAAGCUUGUCGUCUUCCGCAGUAAAAACUGGGUGCUGGAAGAUGCUUACUGCUAUAUUGACUGCUUCCGAGCGCUUCCUGGACCUAAAAAUUAUCUCCCAGCAGCAACCUCCCCAAGGUGUGACGAGAGUCUUCAAGUGUUCCAGACGGCUGGUGAUGCAUUUCAAGAAAAGCCAUCAGAAUCUUGCAAUGAUCUGUAUACUUAAUAAAUGACAAAACAACAA